rnacentral:misc_RNA from 1 species
AUUUUCUAACAAAAAUUUUUACCAAAAUUGAUUCAAGAUAUAUUAUAAAUCAUGAAACUUGAAAGAAAUUAUUAGGUGCAAUUAUUAUAUGUAUAACAAUCAAUCUUGACUGUUGAUUAUAAUGAGACUCACAUAAAACUCAUCUUAAUUAACGAUUAUGAUACAACUAUUGUGCAUACAAUUGUUUCAACUAUUAGUAUUCUAAAAUUUUUCAAUGUGUAGAGAAGUUUUUCCCAUAAGUCCGGCAUGAAUUUUGACUAGAGAUAUAUAUUGCAAGAAACGACAAUUAAGUCAUACAAAUGGGAUCCUAAUUUCAAAUGUAGGUGAAGCUACCUUUAAAGUGGAAGACAAAUAAUGGGGAAUAUUGGACCCCAACCCUCUUCAACAGUCAAACUGGCUUGAUUUCUUUGUUAAUUUCUUGGUCGCUAGUAGCUAGGGUGUAACUUCAUUAGGUUUUUGAUUAUUUCUCCAAUCGUCUUGGCUAAACUCACUCACCUAAAUCAAUUAUGAAUUAUUUGAAAAUGGAUUUCAUCACUUUUGUUUCUUCUCUUUCGUUUUCUUUCUUGUGACAACGAUUUGAAUCCUUAUAAUGACGCUACAGCACUGUUAUAUAUGACUGAUUGAUCAUUAUUUGUGGGGAAACUUGAAUUUGCAACCAUGUAUUUGUAAAGAAAUAUCAUUCCGGAAAAAAAAAAAAUCAAUUACCUGGUCAUUCAAUUAUCAGAUUAUUGACAGCAUUGUAUCCUGAUCGUUAGCUAGCUAGUUUUUCUUUAUAUACCAAAGUUUUAAUUCAUUGCAUAGUUAUUAGUUUGCCCAAAAAGGAUAUACACACAUAUGUCUAUGGCUGUUGCAGCUGAGGAUCUUGAAGCCGGGACGCGAAAACCGAAGUUUCAAACAGAACCCACCUUGCCGAUUUUUCUCAAGGUAUAUAAUAUAAUAGCUAUCUCAUUGCCUGGCAUGCAGGCCAUUAUAUAUAGAUAUGGCUGUAUCUUCUUCUUCAUUGUCCAAGAGCAUGCACUGGUAUCUUCAAUGUGGUAUGGUGCCUUGGAUUGAUUUCAUAUACAUAUUCUAUUUGGACAGGCAAAGAUGGAGAAUUAUGUAGCAAUCAACGCGAUCCAUAGAAAAAGGCUAGCAUGGUCAGAUUUAGUCUUGUACAGAGAGAGAGUUUCAUGUUCUAAUAUGACACGUUAUUGUACAAGACUAAGGACUUUCAUCAAGUACAUUAAUUUCUUCCAACUUGCAUGAAAAUAAUGAAAUUUAAUUACCUUAAAAUAAGCAUGCAUUUGAAGAUUAGCUAUCUUCGAUAUCCUUCAAGUAGUCUUAGAGUAUGCUGUUGGCCCUGAGUCAGAGCUCAAGCAUUGAAUAUACAAGUAAUGCUUAUGCUUUGCUAUGGAAAGAAGGUUAUGGACAUUUUUUGUCGAUAAGUUUAUUGAGUCUUUGUUGGUUAUUUACAUACACUACUACUAUAUCAUGAAUUAUGUAAUUAAUUGCCAUAAAUUUACUGAUCAAGAAAAGAUUUGUUAUUGUUUUUUCCUGGAAUGGAUGUGCAGUUCACAGAUGUGACUUACAAGGUGAUUAUCAAGGGGAUGACCUCGACGGAGGAGAAGGAUAUCUUGAAUGGAAUCACUGGUUCAGUGGAUCCAGGACAAGUCUUGGCACUCAUGGGACCUUCAGGAAGUGGAAAGACAACACUCUUGAAUCUGCUCGGUGGCAGAAUAAUUCAGCCCACUGUUGGCGGUUCAAUCACUUACAAUGAUCAGCCAUAUUCCAAGUCUCUGAAAAGUAGGAUAGGAUUUGUCACUCAAGAUGAUGUUUUGUUUCCUCACCUUACAGUGAAAGAAACAAUAACAUAUGCAGCCCUCCUUCGAUUGCCAAAGACACUGACUAAGGAACAGAAGGAAAAGCGGGCCACAGAUGUCAUCUACGAGCUAGGCUUAGAGAGGUGCCAAGACACCAUGAUCGGAGGCUCAUUUGUCCGCGGAGUCUCAGGCGGCGAAAGGAAACGAGUUUGUAUUGGAAAUGAGAUUAUAAUAAAUCCUUCUGUUUUGUUUCUUGAUGAAGCAACCUCUGGCUUGGAUUCCACAACUGCUUUAAGGAUAGUUCAGAUGUUGCAGGAUAUAGCAGAGGCCGGGAAAACAGUGGUAACAACAAUCCACCAGCCAUCAAGUAGACUCUUCCACAAGUUUGACAAGUUGAUCCUUCUUGGGAAAGGAAGCUUGCUCUAUUUUGGACAAGCAUCAGAAGCAAUGUCCUACUUCUCAUCUAUCGGUUGUAACCCUCUAAUUGCCAUGAACCCAGCUGAGUUCUUGCUAGACCUUGCAAAUGGAAACAUAAAUGAUGUUUCUGUACCAUCAGAAUUGGAGGAUAAAGUCCAAACGGAGGACUCAGAUACCGAAACAAGAAAUGGGAAGCCAUCUCCUAAAAAUGUACAUGAGUAUCUCGUGGGAGCCUACGAGACACGAGUUGCAGAAAAGGAGAAGAAGAAACUUAUGGUUCCUAUACCCCUUGAUGAGGAGGUGAAGUUGAAAGUGUCUUCUCCCAAGCGACAAUGGGGAGCAAGCUGGUGGGAACAAUAUACCAUAUUGUUCUGUAGAGGAAUCAAAGAACGGAGGCAUGACUAUUUCAGCUGGUUGAGGAUAACCCAAGUUCUUUCCACUGCAAUUAUCUUGGGACUCCUAUGGUGGCAAUCAGAUAGUAGCAGCCCCAAAGGCCUGCAAGAUCAGGCAGGGCUGCUUUUCUUCAUUGCUGUUUUCUGGGGAUUCUUUCCUGUCUUCACUGCCAUCUUUACAUUUCCUCAAGAAAGAGCUAUGCUAAAUAAGGAACGUGCAGCAGACAUGUAUAGGCUUAGUGCUUAUUUCUUGGCAAGGACUACAAGUGAUCUACCACUUGAUCUGAUACUACCAGUGCUUUUCCUUGUAGUUGUAUAUUUCAUGGCAGGCUUGAAAAUGAGUGCUGGUCCCUUUUUUCUUAGCCUUCUCACAGUUUUCCUCUGUAUUGUUGCCGCGCAGGUAAAGCUUAAUUUCUGGGAAGAGUAAUAAAAUUUAAAUAUAUACCUCAAACAAUCAAUCCUAAUUUGUGUAUAUAACCAAGGAUGGCUUUAAUGGCAGCAGGGACUCGGAUUGGCUAUUGGAGCUACAUUAAUGGACUUGAAGAAGGCUACAACACUUGCUUCAGUAACUGUGAUGACCUUUAUGCUGGCUGGAGGAUACUUUGUGAAGGUAAAAACAUGGACAAUCUGAUUAUAGUUCAUAAUCUACAUUAAUUAUUCAAAUUACCCUGUUAUAUAAUCAAUAAUUUGAAUGAAUUUUCUUAUAAUAAUUCGAUUAUAGAUUCGCAACACCCGGUGCAUUUCACCAGAUCCCAUUUGCACAAUAGGGAAAAUUACUCAACAUCCAAUAUUGAAGUUUCAUCAGAGCAUAAAAUGGUCAAGGGUGAAGUGUAUUCUUUCAGGGAAAAAGGGAAACACUAUCUCUCCCAAAAUAAAUGCUGACUCCACAUUUUCUCAAGCUUGGAUUGGCAUUCAGUUAUAGAAAAUGUAAUAGUUAAUACAUAGUCUUCUCUUCCUUAUGCAGAAAGUUCCAAUAUUCGUUGCUUGGAUCCGCUAUAUGUCUUUCAACUACCAUACUUACAAGCUUCUUCUCAAGGUGCAAUAUGAGCACAUGCUGCCCCCCAUCAGAGGACUGAGAAUAGGCAAUGGUUUAAUGGAAGUAAGUGCCCUGGUGGCUAUGGCUUUUGGCUACCGCCUCUUGGCAUACAUUUCUUUGAGGAAGAUGAAGCGCAAUUGUGGAGUCUAGUAGCCUACAAAUUUCAGAAGAACAUAAAUCUGAAAUGCUAUCCCCCAAUUCUGAGUUUGACUGCUUGACGAGCCAUCUUGUGAAAGCUCACAUUCCAGGGUAGAUUUUUAAGGGAAACUGACAAGGAACCAUCAGAUUUGUACCUCCAGGAUGUUCUAUGCAUCAUAAUAGCAUCAAUAGGAACAUUACAAGCUAUCUUAGGAAUGUGAGGAGGUAAGAGGAUUUUUUUUCUGUGGAGAAUAAUGGUAUCACAUCACCAGACGCUCAUCUUCACAGGCUGGUCUUUCAUAUUAUUUACAUGCAAUGAUGUGAUAUUUUUCAAACCUAACUAAACAUCAAUCAUCCAUAAUAAUUGAUUUUGGUAAUGUACUUCUUAAGUGUUUAGAGAAUGAAAGCUUUUUUGAACCUGGUGAUUUUGUUUCCCAGAAAAUUUGCAGCGCUGCCACUUAGAUACAUGUACAUAUACAUAGAACCACCGGUAAUCAUGCACAAAUGGAAGGGGGGAAAAAAUAAACGAAAAAUAAAAUGAAAUGAAAGAGAGAAAGAAAGACUGCUCUAUAGCUAUGUACAUGGUGCAACCUCGGGGACAUGUAAAUGAGUAAUACAGAAGAUGAUUCAAGUGCGUGAAAAUUUGUUACAUAUCAGGAUACCUGCCUUACUUCAAUAGCUAGGAGAUUUUCAUUUGGCUUUGACCGUUGUUGCCACUCAGCAACCCUUCCAUGCUUAUCAGUAAAAAUUUCACAAUGUAAGUUGUGUUUUUUGCUUUCCCCAUCGCACAACUCAUGCCAAUGUUCUUAACCAGCCAAGAAGUCGAAGGAGAGCAGCAUCCAAUACAGGGGAAUUUUUCUCCAGUCCAAUGUCAGCAGCUACUCGAUGAGCACACAUAACUCCUGAAAAGGCUACAGCUAUCACACCCUGUCCUGGAAAGCAGCUAUCCCCAACACAGUAAAGACCAUCUAUAGCUGUUGUAUUGAAUGGCAUUCCAAGCAAACCUUUAGGAGUUCUACGUGGCAUUGGUCCAUAGGUGCCUUUAUCACGAGCUAGGUAUCGCCUGUGUGUCUUCGGUGACCCCACCUCCAUAAAAUAAAUUGAUGAUCUGAGCCCUGGAAACAGUUUCUUCUCCAAUCUGCUUAUAAUCACAUUUGCCACAAGCUCCUUCUUUGCCUGAUAGUCCUUUGGAGGGAGUUCCUCCCAGUCUUCUAUGGAAGAAGUUGUAAAUAUGUGAAGAAUAUGGUGCCCCUUGGGAGCUAGUGAUGAAUCAAGAACGGUUGGAAUGCUUAAAAAUAUACUGCCAUAAGGCUCCUCUAAUCUUGCCCAGUCAUCCUCAAGCACAAAAUGAUGGCAAUCUGUAUCUGGUGGCAGAACAUCAGCUUUAACACCCAUGUGAAUGGAAAGAAAAGAUGGAGCCUUAACAUAAACUUUUUGGAAAUUUUCUUCUUCUUUUGGAAUCUUUUCUCCUUUUAACAACUUUCCAAAGGUAUCCCAUCUGGUAGCAUUGGAUAUUAUGGUUUUGGCAAAGAACUCUCUUCCAUCUGACAGCCUCACUCCCACAGCCUUUCCAUGCUCUAGUAUGACAUUAGUCACAUUUGCCUUGUAUAGGAUCUCACUCCCCUGUUCAACCAGACCAUUAGCCAAGGACUUAGCGAUACCACCAACACCACCAACAGGGUAGUUAAUCCCUCCAAAAUGCCUAUCACAUAGAACCAUGCUCGCAUUAAUCAUUGGUGUCUGUAAUGCCUUAACUGUGCUCACUAUAAAACACUCUGCAUCAAUAAAAGACAAUAACUCAGGAUCCUUUAUGUACUUUCGAGCUAUGUCUCCAGCAUUUUGGGGAAGGUAAUAAGCUGCAGAAAAAGAAGCAUUAUGAUAGGAGAAAUUAUUAUAUAAACUAGCACAAUGCUCACUGCUCUUCCAUUUAAGUGUGGUCCACCUAUGAAAUUUACCUAUGGAUCCACAUAAAUGUGAGAGAAGAGAGCAAUGUACCAAGUUUCACUGAAAAAGAAGGAUUUCAUGGGCAGCAGGAAUUACAAGAAGAGAGAUCUGAAAAAUUAGAAAUUCAUGCAGUCAUCACUGCUAAAAACAGGAGAUAUAAGCAGGUAUUACAGAGGAGCUAAUGUCCAAAGUGCUGUAACUUCCACCCUUGAUAGUCCCAGUCACUACUAGAUCAUAACUAACCUAGAAGAUCAUCAUAAUCACUUGUAACAGGCUCCGAAUUCAUACAAGUUGCAAAAUUUUCUAAACCAUUCAAACUUUCUGUAAUCAUAUGAAUUUUCCAGUCUCCAUUCUUUCACCAACAUGUUGUCUGUUCAAGUGGUUAGUCCAGAAGAAACAUAUGUUAUGCUAAAAUGACCUAGAAAUUACAAUUACAAUGAGAAGUCCUUGAGCAGAGAGGAAAUAAAAUACUUUAAGUUGCAACAGCAAUAAGUUUUGCGCAUCAAUAUAUCUUUCAUCAUUUACAAGUUUGAUGGAACUGAAUGGUGUAUUUUCCUCUUGUUUAAAUAACUUUUCUAGCACCAUAUGGAUUCAUAAAUAUAAAUAUCUGACAGAUUUUCCUUAGCAAAUGAAGUUGGAGAACUAAAAGAACCCCAUACCUGUACUGCAAUUGAGAUUAUGAAAAGCCAAGAAAAAAAAAAUGUAUUAACCAUAAAAUUCACAUUUAAAUUGAUUAAUUGAUUCAAAAGGAAAAAGAAAAAGUAAGAAACUAAUACCCAGUGUCAAACAUUCGAGGGGCUUCUGAAAGAACUGUCCAAACAAGUAAAUUGGCUCCUCUAGUGACUUCAAUUCCAAUGAGUUUAAGGCAUUGAAUAUCUUCCAACAUUCACCAUAGAAUUUAAGGAUCCCUUCCUUUUCAUGGGGAAAUCUAGUAGUAAGUUCUGAGAUGAAGUCACUGUAUUCUCUAUGAACUUGAACAGAAAGAUUAUUCGGUAGAUGAAAAUGGACAGUGGUUGGAUCAGGAAUCACCUCCAUUGUACAACCAACUGCUGCCAAUGCUUGUGUUAUCAAAUUCAAGUUUCCCUUAUCACUGAAACCAAACAUCACAGAAGACCCAACAUCGAAAGUAUAACCAUCCCUCUGGUAGUACCCAGAGCUACCACCAGGAAUCACGUACUUCUCCAAAACCAAAACCCUAGCUCCCUUCACCGCCAGCUGUGUGGCAGCAACCAAACCGCCAAUACCAGACCCUAUAACAAUGGCAUCAUAGUUGCUACUCUCCCUGCUGACUCCUCCAUUCCCUUCUACAUCCACAUCUUUAUCCAGACUCAAAACUGGCUUUGACCUCAAAACAAAAUCUUUAUUCAACCGGCAAAAGCCUGACUUCACUUUACCAAGCUUCUGACUACUAUCGAAACCGGGUAUGGAAUUAUAUUUAUUGAGAUUGUAAGAAUCGAAGGAAAUGGAAGGUUUGGCAGGUUCAAAAGAGAAAAAUCUACAUUUCAGGCUUCUGGGUCUGAAGCUACCCAACUGCACAGUACUGCUGAGUCCUGAACUCAUUUCGGUAAAGGUUGAAGCUGCGGCAAUCAAAGGUUUUGGCUUGUGGAUCUUAAAGCAAUCAAUUGUUAGGUGCUUUCGUGGGUGAAAAGCUAAAUUAUUUGGGUGUUAUCGCUGAAUAUAGAAGUGGAAUCGGGUAGUGGAGGAUGAGUUUGUGUGAUUCCAAGUCAUGAUUCUUACACAAUGGAGGGAAGACGAGGACAAACAAAACAAGAUUAUACUAACGGUUUUU